rnacentral:rRNA from 1 species
ACACGUAAGGGGCAAGCGUUGUUCGGAAUUAUUGGGCGUAAAGGGCGCGUAGGCGGUUUUACGAGUCUGGUGUGAAAGAUCUCAGCUUAACUGAGGGACCGCGCUGGAAACUGUAAGACUAGAAUCUAGGAGGGGAAGCUGGAAUUCCUGGUGUAGGGGUGAAAUCUGUAGAUAUCAGGAAGAACACCGGUGGCGAAGGCGAGCUUCUGGCCAUAGAUUGACGCUGAGGCGCGAAAGCGUGGGGAGCGAACAGGAUUAGAAACCCUAGUAGUCC